GAUCAUCUGAUGAGAAACAAAAACUGCAACAAUAUGAUGGACAUGUUCCAUGAUUAUUCGUAUUUAAGUCUCUGAUGAUC